GUAUUUUACAAAUCAGCAGUGCCAGUCCCUCUUACCAUUGCUCUUUUUCAGGAGUUUUUUUAGGCUAAACCCGUGUGUGUGUGUGUGCGCACGCAGAGAGAGAGGGUCUCUCUCUGUUGCGCUGGCUGGAGUAUAGUGGUGUGAUCACAGCUCACUGCAGCUUUGACUUCCUGGGCUAAAGUGAUCCUUCCACCUCAGCCUCCCGAGUAGCUGGGACCAUAGGUGUGCGACACCACAUGUGGCUAAUUUAAAAAAAUUUUUUUGUAGAGAAGGGGUCUCCCCAUGUUGCCCAGGCUUCUGCUGUUUUUAAGUAUCAAAAUACUUGCCAACACAAUGUUUUUUCAGAUGGCAGUUGGCAGCUUUGUUCACCCUUCCUGAAUUCUCUUUCCCUUUCUUUCCAUUUCCUCCAACCCCAUCCCUCACCAUCCUCACUUCAAAAACACUCCAACCCUCUUGCUUAUUAUUUAGUAUCUGCAACUCUACUGUUCUCUGCAAUUCAAAUCUGUAAUUAUUAUAUAUUUCUCUUUAUCCUCUAACCAAUCUUAAGAUCUGUUCAGUUGCCCAUAUAAAAAUUACCACAAAGACUUUUCCUCAUUAACUGGAAAUGACUUGCAAUCCAUUAUAAUAGGUCUUGAGAUGUUCUCACCAAUGGUCACAAUAUUUUAAUAUUGUGGCCUUUGGACAUGUAACCUCAACGUUCAAAUGAUUAAAGAUAUAACCAAUUUAAACUUACCCUUUUCAUUUCUUGUCGCCAAAUAUAAUUUCUUGAAGAAAUUAUACAAAGUAAAAUUCUCUACCAAC
rnacentral:sRNA from 1 species